UACGUAGGGUGCGAGCGUUGUCCGGAAUUAUUGGGCGUAAAGAGCUCGUAGGCGGUGUGUCACGUCGGCCGUGAAAACCUGCAGCUUAACUGUGGGCGUGCGGUCGAUACGGGCAUCACUGGAGUUCGGCAGGGGAGACUGGAAUUCCUGGUGUAGCGGUGGAAUGCGCAGAUAUCAGGAGGAACACCGGUGGCGAAGGCGGGUCUCUGGGCCGUAACUGACGCUGAGGAGCGAAAGCAUGGGGAGCGAACAGG
rnacentral:rRNA from 1 species